rnacentral:rRNA from 3 species
UUUAUCGGAGAGUUUGAUCCUGGCUCAGGACGAACGCUGGCGGCGUGCCUAAUACAUGCAAGUCGAGCGGACAGAUGGGAGCUU